rnacentral:rRNA from 1 species
UACGGAGGGUGCAAGCGUUAUCCGGAUUCACUGGGUUUAAAGGGUGUGUAGGCGGGCUGUUAAGUCAGUGGUGAAAUCUCCAGGCUCAACCUGGAAACUGCCAUUGAUACUAUCAGUCUUGAAUAUUGUUGAGGUAGGCGGAAUAAGUCAUGUAGCGGUGAAAUGCAUAGAUAUGACUUAGAACACCAAUUGCGAAGGCAAUCCCCUGGGCCUGCACUGACG